rnacentral:rRNA from 1 species
AGCGGAGGAAAAGAAACUAACAAGGAUUCCCCUAGUAACUGCGAGUGAAGCGGGAAAAGCUCAAAUUUAAAAUCUGAGAGUCCAUUGUGGCCCUCCGAGUUGUAAUCUAGAGAAGUGCUAUCCGCGCUGGACCGUGUACAAGUCUCCUGGAACGGAGCGUCACAGAGGGUGAGAAUCCCGUCUUUGACACGGACUGCCAGGGCUUAUGUGAUGCGCUCUCAAAGAGUCGAGUUGUUUGGGAAUGCAGCUCUAAAUGGGUGGUAAAUUCCAUCUAAAGCUAAAUAUUGGCGAGAGACCGAUAGCGAACAAGUACCGUGAGGGAAAGAUGAAAAGAACUUUGGAAAGAGAGUUAAACAGUACGUGAAAUUGUUGAAAGGGAAACGCUUGAAGUCAGUCGCGUUGGCCAGGGAUCAACCUUGCUUUUGCUUGGCGUAUUUUCUGGUUAACGGGUCAGCAUCAAUUUUGACCGGUGGAUAAAGGUUGGGGGAAUGUGGCAUCUUCGGAUGUGUUAUAGCCCUUGAUUGCAUACAUCGGUUGGGAUUGAGGAACUCAGCACGCCGCAAGGCCGGGUUUUUUAAAAUCACGUACGUGCUUAGGAUGCUGGCAUAAUGGCUUUAAUCGACCCGUCUUGAAACACGGACCAAGGAGUCUAACAUGCACGCGAGUGUUUGGGUGGAAAACCCGAGCGCGUAAUGAAAGUGAAAAUUGAGAUCCCUGUCGUGGGGAGCAUUGAUGCCCGGACCAGACCUUUUGUGACGGUUCCGCGGUUGAGCGUGUAUGCUGGGACCCGAAAGAUGGUGAACUAUGCCUGAAUAGGGUGAAGCCAGAGGAAACUCUGGUGGAGGCUCGUAGCGAUUCUGACGUGCAAAUCGAUCGUCAAAUUUGGGUAUAGGGGCGAAAGACUAAUCGAACCAUCU